GGGAGUAAAAGAGUUGAUUUCUAAGCAAGUAGAGGCGAAAGUAUAGCUGACGACUUGUCUAAUAAGUCGUCAACCUUGUGAUAAGUUAUCAAAGUUUCCGUUAGGCUUAGAUAGAGAAUGAACUUCAGUUCGAAUCAGUGACGACAUUUAUGAUUGGCCGUCAAAAGUGAGAUAAGCCUUCAAGCUCAUCGUUAGGUUUAGGCAGGGAGUGGAGUUUGAAGUGAAGCAGUGACGACAUUUCUGACAAGUUGUCACAUGUUUGAUAUGCCAUCAAGCCAUAUCGUUAGCCCAAGGCAGAGAUUAUCAAAAGUGAAGAGGAGCUGACAACAUUCCUAAUAAGCCGUCAAACUCCUGAUAAGCCG
rnacentral:lncRNA from 1 species